CGUGUAGGCGGGAAGGUAAGUCGGGCGUGAAAUCCCUGAGCUCAACUCAGGAACUGCACUCGAAACUACUUUUCUUGAGUGCCGGAGAGGAAAGCGGAAUUCCUGGUGUAGAGGUGAAAUUCGUAGAUAUCAGGAGGAACACCAGUGGCGAAGGCGGCUUUCUGGACGGUAACUGACGCUGAGACGCGAAAGCGUGGGGAGCAAACA
rnacentral:rRNA from 1 species